GUGGGAGGGGGCUUGCCCCCGAUGGCGUCGGGUCAGCCAGAAAUUUCUAACCUGAUACACCGCUAUCGGGGGCAAGCCCCCUCCCAC
rnacentral:misc_RNA from 2 species